CGCCGCCCCGCGCCGCUGCCGUCGCCGCCGCCGCCGCGUUCACUGGCUGUCCGGGUGCGGGCGCCGGGCUCCCGCGGGAGGAGGGCAUAGCCGGCGCCGCCCCGGCCCGGGCCCCGGCCCCUGUCCCGCCCCGGGCCCCGGCCAGAGCCCCCCGCCCGGCCCGGCCAUGAAGUGUCACUACGAGGCGCUGGGGGUGCGGCGCGACGCCAGCGAGGAGGAGCUCAAAAAGGCCUAUCGGAAGCUGGCCCUGAAAUGGCACCCGGAUAAAAACAUGGAUAAUGUUGCAGAAGCAGCCGAACAAUUUAAAUUAAUCCAAGCAGCAUACGAUGUGUUAAGUGACCCUCAGGAAAGAGCGUGGUAUGACAAUCAUAGAGAGGCCUUACUUAAAGGAGGACUUGAUGGAGAAUAUCAAGAUGACAGCUUAGAUUUGCUUCACUAUUUCACUGUUACCUGUUACUCUGGUUAUGGGGAUGAUGAAAAGGGCUUUUACAGCGUGUAUCGUAAUGUUUUUGAAAUGAUUGCAAGGGAAGAAUUAGAAUCUGCACUAGAGGAUGAUAUUGAGGAUUUUCCAACUUUCGGAGACUCCCAGAGUGAUUAUGAUACGGUAGUCCAUCCUUUCUAUGCAUAUUGGCAGAGUUUCUGUACUCAAAAGAACUUCGCCUGGAAGGAAGAAUACGAUACCCGGCAAGCUUCCAAUCGCUGGGAGAAACGAGCCAUGGAAAAGGAAAACAAAAAAAUUCGAGACAAAGCCAGGAAAGAGAAAAAUGAACUUGUGCGUCAGCUGGUAGCUUUUAUUCGUAAAAGAGAUAAGAGAGUGCAGGCUCAUCGGAAGCUUGUAGAGGAACAGAAUGCUGAGAAGGCCAGGAAGGCCGAGGAGAUGAGGCGGCGGCAGAAGCUCAAGCAGGCCAAACUGGCGGAGCAGUACAAAGAACAGAGCUGGAUGACUAUGGCCAACAUGGAAAAGGAGCUCCAGGAGAUGGAGGCACAGUAUGAAAAGGAGUUUGGAGAUGGAUCAGAUGAAAAUGAAGUGGAGGAACAUGAGCUCAAACAUGGACAGGACGAUAAAGACAAUGAUGAAGCCGAGGACGUUGAGUUUUAUGAUGAUCUUUACUGCCCAGCAUGUGACAAAUCUUUCAAAACAGAAAAGGCCAUAAAGAAUCAUGAAAAGUCAAAGAAACACCGGGAGAUGGUUGCCUUGUUGAAACAACAGUUGGAGGAGGAGGAAGAGAAUUUUUCAGGAUCUCAAGUGGAUGAAAAUCUAUUGAAUGUCAAUUCUGAGGAAGAAAUGGAAGAUGUACCAAAACAAAAGCUUUCUAAAAAACAGAAGAAAAAGAAACAGAAGCCAGUGCAGAAUUAUGAUGACAGUUUCAAUGAAAGUGGAAUUGGAGAAGAAGAAAAGGUUGACCCAGAAGAUACUAACUUUAAUCAAGACAAUGCCAAAGAAUUAGAAGAUAGUCUUCUAGAAGAUGUCAGUGUCACAGAGACUGUCGAACCCUGUGAUGGUCCAAAAAGUGAAGCUAAGAGUAUUCUCAAACCCAAAGAAAAGAAAACCAAAGAUACGAAAAAAUCUGUCAAAGUAUCUGCUGAACCACAAAUCCAGAGUGAUGUUAUCAGCUGUACAACCUGCCAUAGUGAGUUUCCAUCCCGGAAUAAACUUUUUGACCAUCUCAAGGCUACAGGUCAUGCAAAAGCACCUCCACCGUCAUCUGUAAACAGUGUAACCAGUAGUCGAAGCAAGAAAGAAAAACGUAAAAACAGAUAGAAAUUCUGCCAACAUUUGUUUUCUUACUGUGUCGAGAUUUCGAAACCAAAAACUGAACUGAAAUCAUCUAGAGUUAAAAUUUCAGUGAUUUGCAAUUUAUUGCAUUGUGGAAGAUUAUUUUUUAUCUUAUAAAGACACAUUUUGUUUAAUAUAUAUUUUUUAAACAUUUCACUAGUGAUUGAAUUCUACUUUUGCCAUCUGAAUUGACUUGAAUGUCUCAAAACAGGGCCAAUACUAGCCAGGUUUUCAUCUUCUGCUCUCAUCCUCCUGGGCUUCAUCUGAACAUUCUGUGCCUUCCUCUGUUUUGAACAAGAUGAGUGUUCAUAAGUAUGAAUAGGAAUACUAUGAACAGAAUCACAUACACAAUUUGUUAUAUGAAAAAAAUGAAGUCAUCUUAGAGGACAGAGAAUGUCCUGUAAAUGUCUUUCAGACUUAUUUUGAUUUCCCUUGUACUGACCAUGCAGGUGUUUGAUUUCUUUCUGCUUCUUAUGAACACUGAUUGGAGUUACUUUUUACUUCUAUUCAGACUGACCCCCCCCAAAAAAAAAAUCAGCCGUAAUUUUCAAAGGAUCUUUAUCUUAUGAUUCGAAGUCAACUUAUUUUUAAUUCUGCAUGAUUUUGAAAAGUCUUCUCACUUCUCAGAACUUCAUUUUAUUCAUCUCUGCCACAGUGCUUAGCAUAGUAGUGUUGUCUCCACUUAUAGAGGAUCAUUAUGAGGGGGAAGUAAAAUAAUAUAUAUUUAAGUGCUUUUAAACAAAGGCUUUAUAAGAAAUAUUUCUGAAUUUGAAUGAAAUAAAUAUUUUUAUUUGAAAUAUUUGCAGAUAGAGGUAGGCAUAGUCAGUGAAAUGUAUAUUAUAUUUUAAAGGAAAAUGCUUCCUAAGUCUACUUCUGAAGAAGAAAACUAAUGUGUAUUAUGCCAAGGGUAAAAUAAUAUUUUUGAUGAGUCACAGACGUUUAUCUGUGGCAAGUUAAUUUUUUAAAAUACAUAACCAUAUUUACAUUGAUGUUAUUAAAGGUCAGCGGUCUUAAUUGAAGUUACUUUGAGUGUGAAGACAUGUGGAUUGAAGACUGCAGGAGGAGAAGUUUGGGAAAAUCCCUUCUUCCUAUAAUUCUUUUAGUAGUUCAGAAGUGGGAAAUUCUCUAUAAAACCCACUGGCACCUUCCCUAUUUCAAAAUAGGAGUAGUAUUCUCAGCCCCUGCCAAACAUUUUGCUUAUUCCUAACUUUGAUCACAGAGAAAAGCAAAACUAUAUGAAUUAGUGAAAGAUCAGUAACAUUCGAAUGCAUGUUCUAUUGAUUGCUGCUGAGUUAAAGUUGAUAUUUUGGUGCUAUGAGAAAACUUGUAGAAGCUUCAUCAGAAGGUUUCCUUUUUUCUUUUCCUUCUUGAGUCAUCUGCAGAAUUUCCACAUGAAAAACUACUUUAGUAUUUAUUUAAGAUUGUCCCUGAAGUUACUUGAGAGGAAAUGAAAUUCUUACUGUAAGCUAUAGCCAUUUUUGAGUCCUUUAAAACCUUGAGAAUGAUCCAUGCUGUCAUGGUGAUGCUAAUCUUAACUCGCAAUGUAAAACUAUACAGAGGACCUUAAAUAUGCUACUGUUUGUGUGAUACAAAUUCACUUUCCCAUAAUCUGCGAUGCUGAAGCAUCUUUCCUUACUACAGUUAGUCUGUGCCUUAUUGAUUAAACUGUUUUAAUGUUUUCAUACCCAAAUUCUAGGCUUUUGGGGUUGGAGAGGGAAAGUGGAGGCGAUUACCGCAUGUCUGUCUUCAUAGAUGGGGAAACUGAGCUCAGGGAGAUAGGAACUUCACAGAAAGGGCUGGUUAGGGCCUGCUCCUAUGAUGGGAACAUGGUAGCUUGCAGACUUAACUUGGUAGUUUUUCUGACACUCCAAAAUCUGUUAACUGGAGUUGGGGGGAGGAUUAUUUUAAUUCAUAUCUAAGUAAUUUUGGAAAACAAGAGUGAGCACCAGUCCUGUCAGUAUCCAAUAAUACUGGAAAUUUGUAACACAGCAGUAUGUGAUGGUGCCAGUAUAGGCCAGUAGAUACAUAUACAAAUUACAGGGCUGACAAUAGAUAGGCCUGUGUGUAUGUGGAAACUCAAAUUUUUGCCGGAUUGUGACGUUACCUUUAAGGUGAAAACAUAUAUUAUCCUACACUGUUCCCUGAAACUGCAUGGAUUAAAGAACUACACAUGAAAAGCCAAACUUUUAAAUAUGAAUCUAUAAAAUUCAUGGUUUUGCAGAAGGGCAGAAUUUGUUUACAAUGAGAGUUUAAAGCACAAGCCUUAUAGGAAAUAGGACUGUAUCAUACUUAAGACUUCUGUAGUACAACAGGCACCCAUAAGUAAGAAGCAUGAUGAAAACUGGGAGGAAAUGUUUACUGGUGUAUGUAUGACAAAAGAUUCUCAUCCAAAAUAUAUUGAAAAACAGACAAAAGAGUCUUUCAAAUCAAUGAGAAAAGUGGUAUCUGUGUAUUAGGACAGCAAUUCACAAGUCAUGGGAUCCCAAACCUCUUUACAGUUUCAAGCUUUGAGAACCCAAGAGUUUUUGUGUAUGUGAAUCACAUCUUCUGGUGUUUGCUAUGUUGGAAUUAUAACUGAGAAAAUUUAAAGUAUUAGUAAAAUGCUAACUAUCAAUUAUGAAAAAUAAAAACUUCAGUGAGAGGAA